CGUCGGCGAUGGCGGACGCCGCCCGCCGGGUCGCGUCCGGCGCGCCGACCGCGUCGUUCGGCGCCGGCGCGGCGGCGGCC
rnacentral:tRNA from 1 species